CCUACGGGUGGCUGCAGUGGGGAAUAUUGGACAAUGGGGGCAACCCUGAUCCAGCCAUGCCGCGUGUGUGAAGAAGGCCCUCGGGUUGUAAAGCACUUUCAGUGAGGAAGAACGCCUGGUGGUUAAUACCCAUCAGGAAAGACAUCACUCACAGAAGAAGCACCGGCUAACUCCGUGCCAGCAGCCGCGGUAAUACGGAGGGUGCGAGCGUUAAUCGGAAUUACUGGGCGUAAAGCGCGCGUAGGUGGCUUGAUAAGCCGGUUGUGAAAGCCCCGGGCUCAACCUGGGAACGGCAUCCGGAACUGUCAAGCUAGAGUGCAGGAGAGGAAGGUAGAAUUCCCGGUGUUGCGGUGAAAUGCGUAGAGAUCGGGAGGAAUACCAGUGGCGAAGGCGGCCUUCUGGACUGACACUGACACUGAGGUGCGAAAGCGUGGGUAGCAAACAGGAUUAGAUACCCUUGUAGUC
rnacentral:rRNA from 1 species